rnacentral:rRNA from 1 species
CCCUUAGAUGUCCUGGGCCGCACGCGCGUUACACUGAUGCAUUCAACGAGCUUAUAACCUUGGCCGAGAGGCCUGGGCAAUCUUGUUAACGUGCAUCGUGAUAGGGAUAGAUUAUUGCAAUUAUUAAUCUUGAACGAGGAAUUCCUAGUAAACGCAAGUCAUCAGCUUGCAUUGAUUACGUCCCUGCCCUUUGUACACACCGCCCGUCGCACCUACUGAUUGAAUGACUCGGUGAAAAAUCGGGACUGCGAGAACAAUCGAUUAAUUUCGAAUGUACUUGUGGGAACUUUUUUUAACCUCGCCAUUUAGAAGAAGGUGAAGUCGUAACA